AGCGAACGCUGGCGGCAUGCUUAACACAUGCAAGUCGCACGGGCGGGGGCAACUCCGUCAGUGGCGGACGGGUGAGUAACGCGUAGGAAUCUAUCCUUGAAUGGGGGACAACCGUGGGAAACUACGGCUAAUACCGCAUGAUGCCUGAGGGCCAAAGACGAAAGUCGUUUGAGGAGGAGCCUGCGUCUGAUUAGGUAGUUGGUGGGGUAAAGGCCUACCAAGCCCUACGAUCAGUAGCUGGUCUGAGAGGAUGAUCAGCCACAUUGGGACUGAGACACGGCCCAAACUCCUACGGGAGGCAGCAGUGGGGAAUAUUGGACAAUGGGCGAAAGCCUGAUCCAGCAAUGCCGCGUGUGUGAAGAAGGUCUUCGGAUUGUAAAGCACUUUUGGCAGGGACGAUGAUGACGGUACCUGCAGAAUAAGCCCCGGCUAACUUCGUG
rnacentral:rRNA from 1 species